UAUUCUCUCUUUGAGUUCUUCAUUCACUUGCCCUCACUGAACAUUCUUCUCGUCUCAUGAUCUGAUCUCAUGGCUCCUAACACUGUUACGGACUUUGUUUUCUUGUCAGAUUCAAUUUGAGACAAUAAUCACUUCCAUCAUUUCAAAGAUCGAAUGCAGACAUGGUAAUCCUUUUCUUGAGGUUUGCUUG